AGCUUUCUGUAUCCGUGCUGAGAUUUCGUCAGAGAUCAACCCGUUAGGGUUGAUGCAACUUCCCAAAUAAGUGAAGUG
rnacentral:pre_miRNA from 1 species